rnacentral:lncRNA from 1 species
GACAUCACGCUGUUGAGCAAUUAAGAGGAAGAAAUCUAAUUUUUUUGCCAUCAGUUUAGCUCUCGGAAUUCCCUCGUGGCUUAUUGUACAAAAGGCUGAAAAAUAAGAGCAAUAAGCUGAUUUUUGUCUUUCUGGUGUUUUAUGUUUUCCAUUAAAGCCUUGCUGGUGCGCUGCGCUGACUUUUUGAACUGCAGGAUCAAAAAAUAUUCCUCCCUUUUUUUUUUGGUGAGGACUGUCUCUGAGAAGUAUAAAUAUUAUUGAUUGAGGUAUUUAAUACACUAACGAAACCCACAAUUAUUGACUAUGUAAUUAAUAUACUGUCUAAAAGUAAAGUUUGACAGCGCAUAUAGAAAAGCUAUAUUGACUUGCGCUGCUUUGGCUACGUGCCUCGCAGGGUUUUAUUUAUAGAAAUUGAAACACGUUCUUCAAGUAAUGAUUCAAUCUCACUUUCUACUUGCCACAAACUAGAAAGCUGCUGUUCUUGCUGACUGUAAGGCUUUUGUUUAUCUGUGGGGAGCUAACGUUUUCAGCAUUUACCUUUUCCACCUCUUGUCUUAGAGCGCAGGACUAAGCCGGGGCGCUCAUGUGUGCAGCUCUGUUUCUCGCAGUUGGGAAACCAGACUUUUCCUAAGCAAAUUUGCAGAAGGAACCCUGGCUCGCUCUUUUUCGGCAGCGCUGGUGAGCGAAGAAGACGAGGGAAAUCCAAGGGACAUCUCGGUAGCCCUCGGAGGACGCUGCUGCACAGAGGAUUUUGCGUCGCCAACGGGACUGAUGAAAGAUCGCAGUGUUUUAACAGUCCCCGUUGGUGUCCCUUCCUGUGAUUAACGAGAUGCCAUCCGGUGUGAACGACGGGUCCGGUCCCCAAGCACGACCUAGCCCGGUGCGUUGCCGCUUCCCGCGCCGCGGGGCUUCUCCGCCAGUCUGCCCGAGCCGAGAGGGAUGACUUCAGCCCUCUCCUACAAACCGACAUGUAUUCCUUCGCUGCUUGUGGUGGGUAUUAAGGGCUUACGGGGAGGGGGCGUUCAUCCUAACUGAAUCUCGCCGAGCUCGCUCUGUGCCAGCUGCGUGCGGCUGCGCCCGUACAUCCCCCUUGCAGGCCUUCCUCGCCGUGCACCUCAGAAGCAGGCUGGUAGCCAGCACCUUGCCAUGCAUAUUCAUUAUUUUCUGCUUUGCUUAAUGCGCAAGGCUUGGAGGGGGGGGAGCGAGGGGCUCCUCUCACCAAUUUGUGUUCCUUGAGCUAAUCCACCUCCCCGGCUUGGCA